rnacentral:rRNA from 1 species
AUUGAACGCUGGCGGCAUGCCUUACACAUACAAGUCGAACGGUAACGCGGGGCAACCUGGCGACGAGUGGCGAACGGGUGAGUAAUGCAUCGGAACGUGCCCAGUUGUGGGGGAUAACUGCUCGAAAGAGCAGCUAAUACCGCAUACGACCUGAGGGUGAAAGCGGGGGAUCGCAAGACCUCGCGCAAUUGGAGCGGCCGAGGUCGGAUUAGCUAGUUGGUGGGGUAAAGGCCCACCAAGGCGACGAUCCGUAGCUGGUCUGAGAGGACGACCAGCCACACUGGGACUGAGACACGGCCCAGACUCCUACGGGAGGCAGCAGUGGGGAAUUUUGGACAAUGGACGCAAGUCUGAUCCAGCCAUGCCGCGUGCGGGAAGAAGGCCUUCGGGUUGUAAACCGCUUUUGUCAGGGAAGAAAUCUUCUGGGUUAAUACCUCGGGAGGAUGACGGUACCUGAAGAAUAAGCACCGGCUAACUACGUGCCAGCAGCCGCCGUAACAC